AAUGGACAGGAUCUUGAAGGCUA
rnacentral:piRNA from 1 species